rnacentral:rRNA from 1 species
UACGGGGGGGGUAAGCGUUGUUCGGAAUUACUGGGCGUAAAGGGCUCGUAGGCGGCCAACUAAGUCACACGUGAAAUCCCUCAGCUUAACUGGGGAACUGCGUGUGAUACUGGAUGGCUUGGAUUUGGGAGAGGGAUGCGGAAUUCCAGGUGUAGCGGUGAAAUGCGUAGAUAUCUGGAGGAACACCGGUGGCGAAGGCGGCAUCCUGGACCAAUAUUGACGCUGAGGAGCGAAAGCCAGGGGAGCAAACAGG